CCCUUCCAUCUCCAAACCGGAAAAAAACCCACAGAACCCUAGCCUCCCUACCUCUGUCCUGCUCGCUCCGCCGUCCAUCCACUCUACUGCCAGCGGCGGAGAGAAGACCCAACCCGCCGGCUUGAUCUGAGCCAUGGACAAGCAGCCCGGGGCGCAGGGGGCGGAGAAGGUGCCGGAGGAGAAGGUUCGUAUAUCACUUACCUCCCCUUCGUCCGCACAGCAACUUGAUGAGAAAGAGUUAUAAAGGAAACUGAAAAAAGAUCAAAAGG